rnacentral:rRNA from 1 species
UAAGGAAUAUUGGACAAUGGAGGCAACUCUGAUCCAGCCAUGCCGCGUGAAGGAAUAAGGCCCUAUGGGUUGUAAACUUCUUUUAGACGGGACAAAACCCCUUUACGUGUAAAGGGUUGAUGGUACUGUCAGAAUAAGCAUCGGCUAACUUCGUGCCAGCAGCCGUGGUAAUACGAAGGAUGCAAGCGUUAUCCGGAAUUAUUGGGUUUAAAGGGUGCGUAGGCGGACUAAUAAGUCAGUGGUGAAAGCCUGCAGCUUAACUGCAGAAUUGCCAUUGAUACUGUUAGUCUUGAGUACAGUUGAGGUAGGCGGAAUGUGUCAUGUAGCGGUGAAAUGCUUAGAUAUGACACAGAACACCGAUUGCGAAGGCAGCUUGCUAAGCUGUAACUGACGCUGAGGCACGAAAGCGUGGGGAGCAAACA